UGACAGACAGAAAAAAGGGAGAUGACGA
rnacentral:sRNA from 1 species